UGGGGAAUUUUGGACAAUGGGCGAAAGCCUGAUCCAGCAAUGCCGCGUGUGUGAAGAAGGCCUUCGGGUUGUAAAGCACUUUUGUCCGGAAAGAAAUCCUUGGCUCUAAUACAGUCGGGGGAUGACGGUACCGGAAGAAUAAGCACCGGCUAACUACGUGCCAGCAGCCGCGGUAAUACGUAGGGUGCAAGCGUUAAUCGGAAUUACUGGGCGUAAAGCGUGCGCAGGCGGUUUGCUAAGACCGAUGUGAAAUCCCCGGGCUCAACCUGGGAACUGCAUUGGUGACUGGCAGGCUAGAGUAUGGCAGAGGGGGGUAGAAUUCCACGUGUAGCAGUGAAAUGCGUAGAGAUGUGGAGGAAUACCGAUGGCGAAGGCAGCCCCCUGGGCCAAUACUGACGCUCAUGCACGAAAGCGUGGGGAGCAAACAGGAUUAGAUACCCCUGGUAGUCCACGCCCUAAACGAUGUCAACUAGUUGUGGGAUUCAUUCCUUAGUAACGUAGCUAACGCGUGAAGUUGACCGCCUGGGGAGUACGGUCGCAAGAUUAAAACUCAAAUGAAUUGACGGGGU
rnacentral:rRNA from 1 species